rnacentral:piRNA from 1 species
UCACAAUAGACAGAAAAGGGUGGAAUGGU